rnacentral:rRNA from 1 species
UACGUAGGGUGCGAGCGUUAAUCGGAAUUACUGGGCGUAAAGCGUGCGCAGGCGGUUUUAUAAGCCAGAUGUGAAAGCCCCGGGCUCAACCUGGGAAUGGCAUUUGGGACUGUAAGGCUGGAGUAUGGCAGAGGAGACUAGAAUUCCUGGUGUAGCAGUGAAAUGCGUAGAUAUCAGGAGGAAUACCGAUGGCGAAGGCAGGUCUCUGGGCCAAUACUGACGCCGAGGAGCGAAAGCGUGGGGAGCGAACAGG